AAAUGUGAAAUUUGAGUUAUGCUCAGACUGUUCCCUAGUAUAUCAAUGGUAUUAAAAUAAAUUGGUGUUGUCAAAACAAAUGUUAUAGCAAAAUUAACUGUGGUCUGACAAACACAUUCCAUAGAAGGCAUGAUCAGGUGGCAGAGAUCCAUGAACUUUUAUCUACAGUUUUGAAAUCUUUAAAACUCUGAGAACUAAAGGGAAGUUUUAUUUUAUUUUAUUUUUUGGUUGCUUUGCUUGUUUUUGUAACUCAGCUUAGGGUAAAAGUUAAUUUAACUUAGCUUCAUUUGUCACCUGGCUUAAACUGAUACGAGACUAUUUUCUUUAUUUGUAUUGCUCAGUAUAAAUAUUUAUACAUUUUGUUGCAGAAGUAUUUUUGUAUCUGGCAAUUAGAUAUUAUCUCAGACCCCGAUGGAGACUUAAAUAAUAUAUGGAAUAAGCAGGCUUCUAAUAUCCUCCAAAUUCUUUUUUUUUUGGUUUGUUUUUGUUUUUUGACUGCAUGUCCUGCGUCCUGCGGGAUCUUAGUUCCUGACCGGAAGUCAGACUCGAGCCCUCUGCAGUGGUAGCGCAGUGUCCUAAACACUGGACUGCCAGGGAAUUCCAGUACCUCCCAAAUUUUGGAUUUGCAAACACAUAUGGACCCAAGACUGUGGAUCUGCAAGUACCAAAAAGUCCACAGGAACAUCAUAACUGCAUUCUCCUGGGCAUUUUCCUGUGAUCACCGAGCCAGAGGGGAGUACAUCUCUAUGACGUCAAGACUUUUAGAGCGCCUCGCGGCCCCCUCCCAGCUACUCACACACGCCGCCCCCCCGGGGCCGCGAGCUUCCAGGCAAGGGGGCCGCGCGCGAGCAUCCCCGGCAGGCGCGAGCAGAGAGGAGGGAGGCGGGGAGGCCGACACCCGCCCAGCCAACCACCUUCCGCGAGGCGCCCGGCAGCCCGGCAGCCCGUCUCUCUUUUUUUUUAAAGAACAGACUACCUGAAACUAUAAUUGCACUUAUAAAUUUCUUAAGGACAUACACUUCCAACUCUGUUUUCUCAUCAAGAAAAUGGAGAAACUCAUAGAAUUCCUUUCUUAUGGGGUUGCUGUGAGAAGAUAAACGACUCAGGGCUGAGGAGGGCUUUGCACACACAGGUGUUCAGUAAGCACUUGUGAUGAUUAUGAUCAACUUGCUAUGUAUUUGCUGUUAUGGAAACAUAGCAUUUGAGGUCAUUUAUUUUGUAAUUUCUAUAUUUUCAAAUAUGUUUAUAUUACUAAACUUAACAUACUCACUGCUGAAAAAAAAUGGAAAAUAAAGAAAAUACCAACUGCUCA
rnacentral:lncRNA from 1 species